rnacentral:tRNA from 1 species
ACGGGGAUAGCCUAGCAAGGUAGGGCACCGGGCUUUGGACCCGGCAGGGCAGGUUCGAUCCCUGCUCCCCGUG